rnacentral:rRNA from 1 species
ACAGAUCGCAUGAUCAGCUUUUGAAAGGCGGCRUAAGCUGUCGCUAAGGGAUGGCCCCGCGGUGCAUUAGCUAGUUGGUAAGGUAACGGCUUACCRAGGCGACGAUGCAUAGSCGAGUUGAGAGACUGAUCGGCCACAUUGGGACUGAGACACGGCCCAAACUCCUACGGGAGGCAGCAGUAGGGAAUCUUCCACAAUGGACGCAAGUCUGAUGGAGCAACGCCGCGUGAGUGAAGAAGGUUUUCGGAUCGUAAAGCUCUGUUGUUGGUGAAGAAGGAUAGAGGUAGUAACUGGCCUUUAUUUGACGGUAAUCAACCAGAAAGUCACGGCUAACUACGUGCCAGCAGCCGCGGUAAUACGUAGGUGGCAAGCGUUGUCCGGAUUUAUUGGGCGUAAAGCGAGCGCAGGCGGAAAAAUAAGUCUAAUGUGAAAGCCCUCGGCUUAACCGAGGAACUGCAUCGGAAACUGUUUUUCUUGAGUGCAGAAGAGGAGAGUGGAACUCCAUGUGUAGCGGUGGAAUGCGUAGAUAUAUGGAAGAACACCAGUGGCGGAGGCGGCUCUCUGGUCUGCAACUGACGCUGAGGCUCGAAAGCAUGGGUAGCGAACAGGAUUAGAUACCCUGGUAGUCCAUGCCGUAAACGAUGAGCGCUAAGUGUUGGGAGGUUUCCGCCUCUCAGUGCUGCAGCUAACGCAUUAAGCACUCCGCCUGGGGAGUACGACCGCAAGGUUGAAACUCAAAGGAAUUGACGGGGGCCCGCACAAGCGGUGGAGCAUGUGGUUUAAUUCGAAGCAACGCGAAGAACCUUACCAGGUCUUGACAUCUAGUGCAAUCUGUAGAGAUACGGAGUUCCCUUCGGGGACGCUAAGACAGGUGGUGCAUGGCUGUCGUCAGCUCGUGUCGUGAGAUGUUGGGUUAAGUCCCGCAACGAGCGCAACCCUUGUUAUUAGUUGCCAGCAUUAAGUUGGGCACUCUAAUGAGACUGCCGGUGACAAACCGGAGGAAGGUGGGGAUGACGUCAAGUCAUCAUGCCCCUUAUGACCUGGGCUACACACGUGCUACAAUGGGCAGUACAACGAGAAGCAAGCCUGCGAAGGCAAGCGAAUCUCUGAAUAGUGUUCUCARUUCGGACUCCAGUAUGCAAUANGACUGCACGAAGNCGGAAUCGAUAGUAAUGAC